AUUUUUUUAAUUGGGGGUAGCCCCCAAAAUAUUGGGACAUAUAAAAAAAGAAAACAAAGAAUAAGUGCACUUGAGUAUAACAAAGGCUGGGUGAGGCCGGUAUAAAUGUCGAUUCUGCACAAGGUACAGACAAGUCUGGUGGGAUCCAUGCCUGGUUCAUUUUAAUAAACCUGAGCCGUAGACAGGCGACUGCGCUUGUCUGUGAUAACCUUGUGCCGAUCGCACGUCCCCGUGACGGCGACAACGCAUUCAGAUGUCUGCCCUAUCAACUUUCGUUUCUAUUUUCCACGCCUAUUAUUGUGACCACUGGUAACGGGGAAUCAGUGUUCGAUUCCAGAGAGGGAGCUUGAGAAACUGCUACCACAUGCAAGGAAGGCAGCAGGCGCGCAAAUUAGCCACUCCCGACGCGGGGAGGUAGUGACGACAAUUAACAAUACACUACUCUUUCGAGGCCCUGUAAUUGUAAUGAGUCCACUUUAAAUCCUUUAACUUGGAUCAAUUGGAGGGCAAGUCUGGUGCAGAGCGACUGACCUGUGCGUGCUGCAGCUGAAACUGAAGCUGCAUCAGGGU